rnacentral:rRNA from 1 species
GCUUUGUGGAUGCAAAAGUACAACUUCCGUUACACUUACUUUGUUUCGACUUACUCCUAAAAGGAAUUGACGGGCGAUGUGAGCUAAGCAAUAACUAUUAUUCUUACAAAUAUUUUAGAAAAUACUAUCUAAUCCUAAAUUUAUGGUCUUUCAAAUUUUUUUCAGAAAGUUAGGCAUUAGGGCCUGUUGUUUACUAUCUUUUUUUAAAGCUAGUUUAACGGCAAUACACCAUUUUUUAGCUUUUGUUAGUACAGUGGGUUAUCGGAUUUCAAAAGCCUCAGAGGAAAUUUGCUUCCGCCAGGUUUUUUAAGUUUUUUAUUUUAACUGCUCAAUUUAAUUUUAUUAUCUCAACUUACAGCGGUAUCUAAUCGCUUUUAUAAUUUUAAGAUUAUUUUUCUAGGUUAAAGAUCUUUAUCAGAAUUUUAUCUCUAAAGAAAAUUUUUAAUUUUAUUUCUUUUAUUUCCGUUUUGUUUUGGUGGGGACCGUCUAGCCGCGGGUGCUGGCACGGUUAUUUACCCCCAAUAAUACUCUUUCUUUUAAAUUUAAAAAUUUUCUGCACUGGGAUUCUUAAUUUCACCAAAUUAUUUUUUCCCCAUGUACUUACUUCCGAAAAUUUUUGGGUAUUUCCGAGACAAAAAAAU